AUCACCAUCAUUAUCAUAUAUUUGUUAGAAGUGUCAAAGCAAUAUAUAUAUAUUCAAAGGAAGAAAAAAGGAAAAUAUCUUUGCUACAGAAUACAGAUAUCAAUGAUUGAAAGGGAAUUUUUUUUUUUUAACUUCAAUACAGAGCCAUGUGCAGGUAUUUGUCAGGUGUCCCUACCAUUGAUGGGGUAAACUGCAUUUGCUUCAGUGUCAAAUUUAUCCUAUAAUCAUCAAAUUUGUGUGUUUAUUAUGUUUGAUUAAUCAGAUUAUUCAAUGUCAAAAAAAAAAAAAAA
rnacentral:misc_RNA from 1 species